AGGACGAACGCUGGCGGCGUGCUUAACACAUGCAAGUCGAACGGUGAUCCUGGUGCUUGCACCGGGUGAUCAGUGGCGAACGGGUGAGUAACACGUGAGUAACCUGCCCCCGACUCUGGGAUAACCCCGGGAAAUCGGAGCUAAUACCGGAUAUGAGGCGCACAGGCAUCUGUGGGUCUAGGAAAGAUUUCGGUGGGAUGGACUCGCGGCCUAUCAGCUAGUUGGUGGGUAACGCCCACAGGCGACGACGGGUA
rnacentral:rRNA from 1 species